ACUUGGCUGAUUGAAGCUGUUUCUGCUGCGACUGUUAAACAAACUUCAUCAUGAAUAAAGUGAUCGCGUUCUGUGUCGGACUGUUUAUCAUGAGCAUGAUUUUAUUACCUCAGGUAAACGGACAGAAUAUAACACAGAAUGUGACGGGUGAUGGAUUCAGGUUGCUUCCCGGCGGCCUAAGUCUCGUCCUUCCGAUCAGCCUGCUUGGUUGGGUCCUUCACAUCCUUUACCGCUGAGUGUUUCAGGCUAAAAGGACUGUGGGGAUUGCUGGCAGAAAUGGGCAGAGCAACAAGAGAGCAGCAUUCUAAAUUCUUCUGUUAAUUGUAGAACUUCUUUGGUCAGCGUUUAUCCUACGUACAAAACUGGAGGCGCCGUUCCAUGAGAAGUCCACCUGAAAACCAUUGCUGAUUCUUUAAAACGCUCAGGAAAUCAGACAUCUUUGAUUGAGGCCAAUUAAGAAUUUACUUUUAUAUUUAGUCUGCAUAUCAAUCUGUAUUUUCAUUUUUAAAUUGAAUAACUCGCUAAGCAUCAAGAUCUUUUGUAAUAAAAUGUAUUGAAAUUUUUGUCUGGGUCAUUCAUGUGACAACUGGCAAUAAAUGAUGACCACAUCUAA